GCCCUCUUUAGGGUAGUCUUUGAGUUUCCGACUGAAUGUCAAAUCAAACAUAAGGUCUUCCACCCAAGUACUCGCUCUUGUUCCUGAACCACCAAUUUCCUGGGUACAGGGUUAUGUUGGAGCUUCUAGGCAGGGUCUAGUUUAGUGGGAGACAAGAGGGGGCCAGGCCAGAGAACUGGUUGCAUUUAUGUGAUGAAGAGCCUCACUUUGGACAUAUGAUCAUCCUUGCAGGUGAGCUGAUGUGAGCAGUCACACUGACAAGGGUGAAAGAAGAAUGCAUCCUCAGAUCCUGGUUAGAAACAGAUUCUGUGCACAAGAAGAUGACCGCUAUUUCCACGACCAUUUCAACUUUGGUGUUCUUACCACUCAUCACACAAGUAAGUCAGUCUUUCUGACUGAUUUGAAAGGUCCAUGAGAAUGGGGACCAUGCCUAUAUUGUUCUUAACUGUAUGCUUAGCUCUUAGCACAGGGCAUGGCAGAGGGGCUGUUGCUGAGUUGAAUGAUUUAUAAAUCACCAGUCUUAUAUGUGUGCAUCAUCACCUUUAAUGCAUGAGGCUAAUAAUGGCAUACAAUAAAUA
rnacentral:lncRNA from 1 species